UGAGAGCAAUACUACUAGUAUUAGGAACAAAUGGGCAAAAUGACUUGAAGGAGUUUGUUUUACAAACUUAUUUCUAAAAGGAUUUCUUUUGAAACAUUUUUUUUAGGGGGUCUAUUUUUUAAGGUUUUGGAAAAGGUUUCGUUAUUUCUGUUGGUGAAACACCUUGUGCCGCCAUUUCUAUCAACACAUCGUCUCGAUGCAUGUCAGUCACAAAUUAUUCACGUGUGUCAUGUGGGUUUUGCUAUCACCAUUAGCGAAAUACACUUCGCCGACACCAUUGACGAAACGCGUGCCAUGUGUCCGGUUUCGCUAGCUCCAUUGGCGAAACGUGCAUGAAUCCGUGUUCACAUGGGUUUCGCCAGCACCAUUGGUGAAACACAUGCCACCCAUUUUCUAGCUCGCCUUUUCAGAAGCUGCAGUGGUUGAAGCAUAGCCUUUUUAGAAGCUUUUCAGAAGGUGCAGUUGAGCCUUUAUUCUUUUGAAGGUGGGAGGGAUGACGAUAAUUUAAAUUUCGUCCCCCACCCUCUUCCCCUCCCCUUUAUAUGACCCUUCUGUGUGUGCAGAAUACACACACUUAAAAAAAUUAUUCUGCUGGUGGUGGUGGGAAAAGCUUCAAUUCCGGUUCAAGAGUUUCUACUUUUUCGACCUUCAAACAAAUUAUUCCGCUGGUGAUGGUGGACAAAGGCUUCAAUCCGGUGGCUGCGACGGGAAAAUCAACAUAUUGGUAAUGAUGAUUUGAUACUUUUUCGUCGCAAAUUAGAUAGUAUGAAACGACAUGAGUUUGUGUGGGAGCCUAACUCAGCAAAUGUUAUGUCAGUGUUGCCUCCAAUUUUUUUAGUUGGAAGUGUAGCGUGGUGCGCGGUGGUGCCACUAAUUUGUUUCCAAGUUAUUUAAUGGUACCAACCUGAUAGAGUGUUGAGACAAUUUGGAAUGCAGCAACCAAUUCUACGGUGUCCUUCACAGCCCUUUAAUAUUCAUGGCAUAACAUUGAAAGGAAAACAUGAUGAAAAUUGGGGCCAAUUGUUAGGCUCAAUGAUCGAUCAAUGGAACAAUCGAGCUGAUUUUAGGGUCAACGGUUAUGCUUGACAAGAAGGCUUAUUGGGCUUUAACUCCGACUAUAUGGUGUGGUAUAGGCGAAAAACGAAGAUGUUUGUUGACCCUAAAAAUGCAAACACAGCUACACUGACUGAAGUUGCAGAGACAUUAUAGUACGAUGUCUCCACAAGGGAGAAAUACAUGGACAGUGGAUGAUCUAGUGCCGUAUGUGGAGAAAAUAACCAUUUUAUCUGAAGAGCAAGAGAGAAUAAUUGAACCUCUGUCACAUGGUCCAGCAACAGAACAUGAAUUUACAGUCCAAGAGUUUAAUAUUCUCCAAUCAAGUGUUCAAACUCAAGACACAGCCAGACGAAGGGAGAGGCUGUUGAAGCGGAACCAUAUUUGUAUCCACAGAUGGUAGAGCGUGGCCAUGAAAUGUACUACGCACCACCAACAUUUGCUCAGUAUCCGACACAGAUGUAUCAGUGUCCAUUCGAAGCUCACCAAGUGAUACUUCUUCAAGCGAUCAUUCAUUAGGUGGUGUUGCGGAGACAUAUCCCAAUUUUUCAUGGCCUACUAUGACCCAUUCACAGCAACAUGAUGCUUCAAUUCCAACACCUAAUGCCCCAUUAGGUACUCAAUGGAAUGUACCCGGAGUAAUACCUAAUAUAAAUGAAUUAUUAGGUUAUUAGGUGUUGAUUUACGUCACCAAUUUUCUGCUGAGGCUGAUCAAGUUGAAGAAGGGAGACAAGCACGAAGAUGGGAACGUCCGUGUGGCACAUCCUCACGUCAUCACGGACAUCAUGACGAUUGAUUUUCAUAUUAGUAUUUAAAUAUUGUAUUGUGUGCUUUUUAUUUAAA